rnacentral:rRNA from 1 species
UGGCACCUUGAUGUCGGCUCAUCACAUCCUGGGGCUGUAGCCGGUCCCAAGGGUUUGGCUGUUCGCCAAUUAAAGUGGUACGUGAGCUGGGUUUAGAACGUCGUGAGACAGUUCGGUCCCUAUCUGCCGUGGGUGUAGGAUACUUGAGAGGAGUUGCCCCUAGUACGAGAGGACCGGGGUGAACGAUCCACUGGUGGACCAGUUGUUAUGCCAAUAGCAGUGCUGGGUAGCUAUGAUCGGACAGGAUAACCGCUGAAGGCAUCUAAGCGGGAAGCCCCCCUCAAAACAAGGUAUCCCUGAGAGCCGAGAUAGACCAUCUCGUCGAUAGGCCAGAGAUGUAAGCGUGGUAACACGCUCA